AGUGAACGCUGGCGGCGUGCCUAACACAUGCAAGUCGAACAAUGAAGAGCAGCUUGCUGCUCGGAUUAGUGGCGCACGGGUGAGUAAUGCAUAGGUAAGGUGCCCCUUAGUCUGGGAUAGCCACUGGAAACGGUGAUUAAUACUAGAUACUCCUUCUUGUCUUAAGGCAAGUCGGGAAAGUUUUUCUCUAAGGGAUCAGCCUAUGUCCUAUGAGGUAGUUGGUGAGGUAACGGCUCACCAAGCCAAUGACGGGUAUCUGGUUGGAGAGGAUGAACAGACACACUGGAACUAAGACACGGUCCAGACUGCUACGGUAGGCAGCAGUGAGGAAUAUUGCACAAUGGAGGAAACUCUGAUGCAGCAACGCCGCGUGGAGGAUGACGCAUUUCGGUGUGUAAACUCCUGUUAAGAGGGAAGAUUAUGACGGUACCUCUUGAAUAAGCACCGGCUAACUCCGUGCCAGCAGCCGCGGUAA
rnacentral:rRNA from 1 species